rnacentral:rRNA from 1 species
GGGUUGUGAGGUUAAGCGACCAAGCGUACACGGUGGAUGCCCUGGCAGUCAGAGGCGAUGAAGGACGUGCUAAUCUGCGAAAAGCGCCGGUAAGGUGAUAUGAACCGUUAUAACCGGCGAUGUCCGAAUGGGGAAACCCAGUGUGAUUCGUCACACUAUCAUUAACUGAAUCCAUAGGUUAAUGAGGCGAACCGGGGGAACUGAAACAUCUAAGUACCCCGAGGAAAAGAAAUCAACCGAGAUUCCCCCAGUAGCGGCGAGCGAACGGGGAGGAGCCCAGAGCCUGAAUCAGCAUGUGUGUUAGUGGAAGCGUCUGGAAAGGCGCGCGAUACAGGGUGACAGCCCCGUACACAAAAGCGCACGUGCUGUGAGCUCGAUGAGUAGGGCGGGACACGUGGUAUCCUGUCUGAAUAUGGGGGGACCAUCCUCCAAGGCUAAAUACUCCUGACUGACCGAUAGUGAACCAGUACCGUGAGGGAAAGGCGAAAAGAACCCCGGCGAGGGGAGUGAAACAGAACCUGAAACCGUGUACGUACAAGCAGUGGGAGCCCCACCACCAAAGCGUUUCGCUUUGCGUGGUGCGCAAAAUGCGUAACGACAGCACGAUUGUGGUUAACGGAGCGUAAGCGACGUUCAACACAAAAAUCAGGCAGUGGAGCGU